rnacentral:rRNA from 1 species
UAUAACCUAGGGAGGCAGCAGUGGGGAAUAUUGCACAAUGGGGGAAACCCUGAUGCAGCGACGCCGCGUGAGUGAAGAAGUAUUUCGGUAUGUAAAGCUCUAUCAGCAGGAACGAGACAAGACGGUACCUGACUAAGAAGCCCCGGCUAACUACGUGCCAGCAGCCGCGGUAAUACGUAGGGGGCAAGCGUUAUCCGGAUUUACUGGGUGUAAAGGGAGCGCAGGCGGCAGCGCAAGUCUGAUGUGAAGGCCCGGGGCCCAACCGCGGGA